rnacentral:ncRNA from 1 species
CGGGUGCUCCGACAAGGAGCUUAAAAGGGAACACGGUGACAGGCGGCCCCCGGGCCGCCCCAAUCCGCGGCUGUCCCUGCAACUGUAAGCGGCGAGCGCGGUGCCGGACGUGCCCUGUGACAAGGGCACAGCCACUGGAUCGAACGGGUCGACCGUCGAUCUGGGAAGGUACGGCACCGUGGCUAUGACCCGCGAGCCAGGAGACCUGCCGGCGUCA